rnacentral:rRNA from 1 species
UGCCAGCCGCCGCGGUAAUACGGAGGGUGCAAGCGUUAAUCGGAAUUACUGGGCGUAAAGCGCGCGUAGGUGGUUUGUUAAGUGGAAUGUGAAAGCCCUGGGCUCAACCUAGGAAUUGCAUCCCAAACUGGCAAACUAGAGUACAAGAGAGGGGUGUGGAAUUUCCUGUGUAGCGGUGAAAUGCGUAGAUAUAGGAAGGAACAUCAGUGGCGAAGGCGACGCCCUGGCUUGAUACUGACACUGAGGUGCGAAAGCGUGGGGAGCAAACAGGAUUAGAUA